GACGAACGCUGGCGGCGUGCUUAACACAUGCAAGUCGAACGGAAAGGCCCUGCUUUUGUGGGGUGCUCGAGUGGCGAACGGGUGAGUAACACGCGAGUAACCUGCCCUUGACUUUGGGAUAACUUCAGGAAACUGGGGCUAAUACCGGAUAGGAGCUCCUGCUGCAUGGUGGGGGUUGGAAAGUUUCGGCGGUUGGGGAUGGACUCGCGGCUUAUCAGCUUGUUGGUGGGGUAGUGGCUUACCAAGGCUUUGACGGGUAGCCGGCCUGAGAGGGUGACCGGCCACAUUGGGACUGAGAUACGGCCCAGACUCCUACGGGAGGCAGCAGUGGGGAAUAUUGCACAAUGGGCGGAAGCCUGAUGCAGCAACGCCGCGUGCGGGAUGACGGCCUUCGGGUUGUAAACCGCUUUCGCCUGUGACGAAGCGUGAGUGACGGUAAUGGGUAAAGAAGCACCGGCUAACUACGUGCCAGCAGCCGCGGUGAUACGUAGGGUGCGAGCGUUGUCCGGAUUUAUUGGGCGUAAAGGGCUCGUAGGUGGUUGAUCGCGUCGGAAGUGUAAUCUUGGGGCUUAACCCUGAGCGUGCUUUCGAUACGGGUUGACUUGAGGAAGGUAGGGGAGAAUGGAAUUCCUGGUGGAGCGGUGGAAUGCGCAGAUAUCAGGAGGAGCACCAGUGGCGAAGGCGGUUCUCUGGGCCUUUCCUGACGCUGAGGAGCGAAAGCGUGGGGAGCGAACAGGCUUAGAUACCCUGGUAGUCCACGCUGUAAACGGUGGGUACUAGGUGUGGGGUCCAUUCCACGGGUUCCGUGCCGUAGCUAACGCUUUAAGUACCCCGCCUGGGGAGUACGGCCGCAAGGCUAAAACUCAAAGGAAUUGACGGGGCCCCGCACAAGCGGCGGAGCAUGCGGAUUAAUUCGAUGCAACGCGUAGAACCUUACCUGGGUUUGACAUGGAUCGGGAGUGCUCAGAGAUGGGUGUGCCUCUUUUGGGGUCGGUUCACAGGUGGUGCAUGGCUGUCGUCAGCUCGUGUCGUGAGAUGUUGGGUUAAGUCCCGCAACGAGCGCAACCCUUGUUCACUGUUGCCAGCACGUUAUGGUGGGGACUCAGUGGAGACCGCCGGGGUCAACUCGGAGGAAGGUGGGGAUGACGUCAAGUCAUCAUGCCCCUUAUGUCCAGGGCUUCACGCAUGCUACAAUGGCUGGUACAGAGAGUGGCGAGCCUGUGAGGGUGAGCGAAUCUCGGAAAGCCGGUCUCAGUUCGGAUUGGGGUCUGCAACUCGACCUCAUGAAGUCGGAGUCGCUAGUAAUCGCAGAUCAGCAACGCUGCGGUGAAUACGUUCCCGGG
rnacentral:rRNA from 1 species